UACGGAGGAUCCAAGCGUUAUCCGGAUUCACUGGGUUUAAAGGGUGCGUAGGUGGGCAGGUAAGUCAGUGGUGAAAUCUCCGGGCUUAACUCGGAAACUGCCAUUGAUACUAUCUUUCUUGAAUACCGUGGAGGUCAGCGGAAUAUGUCAUGUAGCGGUGAAAUGCUUAGAUAUGACAUAGAACACCAAUUGCGAAGGCAGCUGGCUACACGAAUAUUGACACUGAUGCACGAAAGCGUGGAUCAAACAGG
rnacentral:rRNA from 1 species